rnacentral:rRNA from 1 species
GGUUAAGCGACUAAGCGUACACGGUGGAUGCCCUGGCAGUCAGAGGCGAUGAAGGACGUGCUAAUCUGCGAUAAGCGUCGGUAAGGUGAUAUGAACCGUUAUAACCGGCGAUUUCCGAAUGGGGAAACCCAGUGUGAUUCGUCACACUAUCAUUAACUGAAUCCAUAGGUUAAUGAGGCGAACCGGGGGAACUGAAACAUCUAAGUACCCCGAGGAAAAGAAAUCAACCGAGAUUCCCCCAGUAGCGGCGAGCGAACGGGGAGCAGCCCAGAGCCUGAAUCAGUGUGUGUGUUAGUGGAAGCGUCUGGAAAGGCGCGCGAUACAGGGUGACAGCCCCGUACACAAAAAUGCACAUGCUGUGAGCUCGAUGAGUAGGGCGGGACACGUGGUAUCCUGUCUGAAUAUGGGGGGACCAUCCUCCAAGGCUAAAUACUCCUGACUGACCGAUAGUGAACCAGUACCGUGAGGGAAAGGCGAAAAGAACCCCGGCGAGGGGAGUGAAAAAGAACCUGAAACCGUGUACGUACAAGCAGUGGGAGCACGCUUAGGCGUGUGACUGCGUACCUUUUGUAUAAUGGGUCAGCGACUUAUAUUCUGUAGCAAGGUUAACCGAAUAGGGGAG